AUAACGAUUACUAUAUAACCUUGUUGUUGGUGACCAAACUAUCAUUACUAAACUUACAUCUCAUCGUUCAUCAUGUGCUGAACACUGAUUUCCCCAAGGUUUUUCUGAACAACAGGAAUCACGAUGUUCUAGAGAUAAUCAACAUGGGGAUAUAAAGAUAGAGCAAUAAAUCUCGCCAUGUAAUGUUGUGCUGAAGCAACAAAUCAGUAUGGUGAUUUAAGGAGAAAGUAAAGGAAUUCACGGGACGUUGGACCUGGAGGAAUUGCCACUUGCUAAUUAAUAUGGCGUAUUAAGGCGGCGUGGACCUAAUGGACGUCAAGACAGGGAAAUGAUUCGUUACAGUUGAAUAGUGAAUGCUGUGCAUGCACUUCAACAAACAUGGCUGAAAGUCACGUGUAUGAUAUGCACGUGCGUUUCGGUCGCCGAGACGGAAAGGACCUAGAUGUGGGCUAGGCAAUAUCUGCCCAAUGCCCAAGGGCGAUAUGUCAACACCUGAAACGUAUGAUGGAUGAUCGCCCGAACAACAUCGCACGGAUGCACCUGGCCUUGAUGGGAUCUGUACUCUCCUAGAAACGCCAAUGGCAUUUUUAAAGGAGACGAACAUCCAUGGAAUGAUCGGUUACGGAAUCGAGUGGGAGGAUGUGUGAAGGUGGGGAUUGUGUCAUCACCGUCAAAAUGGCGACUCACGAGAAAAGGGCCCGCGAAGGGGCCCGGGGGGUGGGGAUCGGGGAACGGGAGGGCGGGAUUUUCUUUCUUUCAUAUUUGUUUCCAAGCUCAGAUUUUCAGAUUUUCAAAACAAUUCAAAAUUCCAAAAUCAAUACUCUUCUAAAAGACGGAAUAAAAACCGUUGCGGACGUUUCACCUAUUCCAAUUACCAAAUCAAGCACAUUGCCACCGGACCUGAACAAAAGGUCAUUGAAACUUUUUGAAACUCUAGAAGAACUGGGUAUUUCAACUGAAAGUGUUAAUUAUGAACCGAAAGAACACAGGGACGCGGCUGACGACACGAUCUAUUGCAAGAAUCUAUUUCUCAAAGACAGAAAGGGACGCUUUUAUUUGGUAAUAUGUCACGAAGACGAAAUCGUUGAUUUGAAAUAUUUGAGACAAAAACUUAAAGCUUACAGAAACUUUUCUUUUGCUUCUGCUACUGAGGUGUCAUGGAUUCUAGGUGUGUGUCCAGGGGAGGUGACUCCGUUAGCCUUACACGAAGACAGAGAAGGGAAAGUCAGAGUUGCAGCUACGCCGUCGAUUUGCGUUACAGAAGAUCUCCUCAACUUCCAUCCGUUGGAUAAACGGUAUGCUACUCGUAUGACAUUCCUUGACCUUCAGAGAUUUCUCACCAACUGUGGACACACACUGGAAAUUCUGACCACAUAAAACCCUAUGCACUCUACUACAUUUCUCGGUUAAAAUAAAAGAACAAAAUUAUUUCAAAUGAUAUUUUUAUCAAGUGUUUUUCAGAUAUGUAUACAUAUGGGGAUUAAAAGAACGUAAAUUGAA